AGCGGCGAGCGAACGGGGAGCAGCCCAGAGCCUGAAUCAGUGUGUGUGUUAGUGGAAGCGUCUGGAAAGGCGCGCGAUACAGGGUGACAGCCCCGUACACAAAAAUGCACAUGCUGUGAGCUCGAUGAGUAGGGCGGGACACGUGGUAUCCUGUCUGAAUAUGGGGGGACCAUCCUCCAAGGCUAAAUACUCCUGACUGACCGAUAGUGAACCAGUACCGUGAGGGAAAGGCGAAAAGAACCCCGGCGAGGGGAGUGAAAAAGAACCUGAAACCGUGUACGUACAAGCAGUGGGAGCACGCUUAGGCGUGUGACUGCGUACCUUUUGUAUAAUGGGUCAGCGACUUAUAUUCUGUAGCAAGGUUAACCGAAUAGGGGAGCCGAAGGGAAACCGAGUCUUAACUGGGCGUUAAGUUGCAGGGUAUAGACCCGAAACCCGGUGAUCUAGCCAUGGGCAGGUUGAAGGUUGGGUAACACUAACUGGAGGACCGAACCGACUAAUGUUGAAAAAUUAGCGGAUGACUUGUGGCUGGGGGUGAAAGGCCAAUCAAACCGGGAGAUAGCUGGUUCUCCCCGAAAGCUAUUUAGGUAGCGCCUCGUGAAUUCAUCUCCGGGGGUAGAGCACUGUUUCGGCAAGGGGGUCAUCCCGA
rnacentral:rRNA from 1 species